rnacentral:rRNA from 1 species
ACUCAAAUGAAUUGACGGGGACCCGCACAAGCGGUGGAGCAUGUGGUUUAAUUCGACGGUAAGCGAGGAACCUUACCAAGGCUUGACAUUGCCCUGCAAGCGCACGGAAACGUGUGACCUUCGAGGGUGGGCAACAGGUGCUGCACGGUUGUCGUCAGCUCGUGUCGUGAGAUGUUCCCUUAAGUGGGAGAACGAGCGCAACCCCCGUAGUAUGUUGAUUUUCAUACUAGACUGCCGGCGUUUAAGCUGGAGGAAGGUGGGGAUGACGUCAAAUCAGCGUGGCUCUUACGCCUUGGGCGACACACGUGCUACAAUGGGAAGGUACAAAGGGACGCAAUACCGUAAGGUGGAGCAAAUCCUAUCAAAAACUUCUCUCAGUUCGGAUUGAGGGCUGCAACUCGCCCUCAUGAAGCUGGAAUCGCUAGUAACCGUGAAUCAGCCUCGUCACGGUGAAUACGUUCUCGGGUUUUGUACACACCGCCCGU